rnacentral:rRNA from 1 species
AGAGUUUGAUCAUGGCUCAGAACGAACGCUGGCGGCGUGCUUAAUACAUGCAAGUCGAACGUGAGGUGUAGCAAUACACUGAAAGUGGCGAACGGGUGAGUAACACGUAAGUAAUCUGCCUUUAAGAUUGGGAUAACCCUGCCAACGCGGGGCUAAUACCGGAUGUGGUCCAGAAGACGCAUGUUUUUUGGAUUAAAGGAGUGAUCCGCUUAGAGAUGAACUUGCGGCCCAUUAGCUAGUUGGUGCGGGUAACGGCCCACCAAGGCGACGAUGGGUAGCCGGCCUGAGAGGGUGUACGGCCACAUUGGGACUGAGAUACGGCCCAGACUCCUACGGGAGGCAGCAGUAGGGAAUUUUGCGCAAUGGACGAAAGUCUGACGCAGCAACGCCGCGUGAAGGAUGAAGGCCCUCGGGUUGUAAACUUCUGUUGGAUGGGAAAAAAAUGCCGUAAGGUACUGAUGGUACCAUUCGAGUAAGCACCGGCUAACUACGUGCCAGCAGCCGCGGUAAUACGUAGGGUGCAAGCGUUGUUCGGAAUCACUGGGCGUAAAGAGAGCGUAGGCGGGAUUGUAAGUUAGGAGUUUAAUGCAUGGGCUCAACCCAUGAUCUGCUUUUAAUACUGCAGUUCUUGAGUAUGGGAGAGGGCGAUGGAAUUCCAGGUGUAGCGGUGGAAUGCGUAGAUAUCUGGAAGAACACCAGUAGCGAAGGCGGUCGCCUGGCCUAAUACUGACGCUGAGGCUCGAAAGCUAGGGGAGCAAACAGGAUUAGAUACCCUGGUAGUCCUAGCCGUAAACGAUGAACACUAGUUGCUGGGGGAGUCAAUCUUUUCAGUGACGAAGCUAACGCAUUAAGUGUUCCGCCUGGGAAGUACGCUCGCAAGAGUGAAACUCAAAUGAAUUGACGGAAUCGU